rnacentral:misc_RNA from 1 species
AGCAGCCGCGGUAAUUCCAGCUCCAAUAGCGUAUAUUAAAGUUGCUGCAGUUAAAAAGCUCGUAGUUGAAUUUCGGGACCAUCAUGUCGGUCGUGCCUCGGUACGUACUGGCAUUGUUGGUUUCUACCUUCUGACGAACCAUGAUGUCAUUUAUUUGGUGUCCUGGGGAAUCAGGACUGUUACUUUGAAAAAUUAGAGUGUUUAAAGCAGGCUCGCGCUUGAAUACAUUAGCAUGGAAUAAUGAAAUAGGACGUUUGAUUCUAUUUUGUUGGUUUCUAGGAUCGACGUAAUGAUUAAUAGGGAUAGUUGGGGGCAUUAGUAUUCAAUUGUCAGAGGUGAAAUUCUUGGAUUUAUUGAAGACUAACUACUGCGAAAGCAUUUGCCAAGGAUGUUUUCAUUAAUCAAGAACGAAAGUUAGGGGAUCGAAGACGAUCAGAUACCGUCGUAGUC